UACGGGGGGGAGCAAGCGUUGUUCGGAUUUACUGGGCGUAAAGGGCGCGUAGGCGGCGCAACAAGUCACUUGUGAAAUCUCCGGGCUUAACCCGGAGCGGCCAAGUGAUACUGUCGUGCUAGAGUGCGGAAGGGGCUACUGGAAUUCUCGGUGUAGCGGUGAAAUGCGUAGAUAUCGAGAGGAACACCGGUGGCGAAGGCGGGUCUCUGGGCCGAUACUGACGCUGAGGAGCGAAAGCGUGGGGAGCGAACAGG
rnacentral:rRNA from 1 species